rnacentral:tRNA from 1 species
GAUCAUUUAGCUCAGUCGAAAGAAUCUGCCUGCAAUGCAGAAGACGCAGGUUCGAUUCCUGGUUUGGGCA